AUGUGCAUUUUGUAGGAAGAAAACUGUGAAUGGAAAAAGGAGAAGGGGAGAGAAACAGGGGGGAAAUCUGGAUAAUACAUUAAAGUAACCAUAAUUUUGGAGAUGCAUUCAUCUUAUUGAAAAUAUAUUUCCUCAUGGUUGUGAUUCCUCUUCACUCUUUUGAAUUUGGAAGGACGGCAUACACAUCUGAAAAACACCACUACUUCCUUCAUUGGACUGCAAGGUAUUUCUGUUUGGAAAAGUAAUGGAGUCCAGUCAACUUCAUUGAUCUCCAAGGACUGUCAAAAUUAUAAAACUUGCUGUGGAGCUCUGACAUGCCAGAAGCCGCUAGAAAAAGAAGUUUGACAUUCAGAAACUUAUCAAGAGGUUCUACUCUUUGGAUAGAGACCAAAAUAAUACUUUGAAAAAGCCUGACAGGUUUCUUCGGAAAAGUGGCCAUCCAUGGAAUGAAUGAAAUGUUCUCUUUCUAUUCCAAUCCAACUUAGAAAUAAUGUUUCAUUCAAGAUAAGGCUCGUGAUUUAGGAGAUUGUGACCUGGCUUGCAUCAUUCUAAGACUUCUAUCA
rnacentral:sRNA from 1 species